rnacentral:rRNA from 1 species
GUCAGCGGCCACAGGAGGGGUGGCACGUCCGAUCCCAUUCCGAACUCGGAAACUAAGACCCCUUACGACGCUGCCGGUACUGCCGAAAGGCGGGAAAGCGUGUUGCUGCUGCCA